rnacentral:rRNA from 1 species
CCCCACUAUGCCCAGCCGUAAACUUUUAAUUACUCCCAAAUCGCCUGGGAACUACGAGCAAAGCUUAAAACCCAAAGGACUUGACGGUACCCCAUAUCCCCCUAGAGGAGCCUGUCCUAUAAUCGAUAAUCCCCGUUUAACCUCACCAUUUUUAGCUUAUCAGUCUGUAUACCUCCGUCCCCAGCUUACCUCGUGAGCGAAAUCUAGUAAGCCUAAUGCCCACACGCCAAUACGUCAGGUCAAGGUGCAGCAAAUGAAAUGGGAAGAGAUGGGCUACAUUUUCUAAUAUAGAAAAUACGAAAGACUACCUAUGAAAUCUAGUCAGAAGGCGGAUUUAGAAGUAAAAAGAAAAUAGAGUGUCCUUUUUAACCUGGCACUGGGGUGUGUACACACCGCCCG